UAAAUAUACAUACCCAUGAUCAAACAGUCCACACAGUUAAGCAUCACUAUACUAUCUGCAUAUAUUCUGAUAAGCUACAGUCAACUAAAACCAUGAAAUCCAGCACAGUCCUGUAUGCAGUAGCAUUAGUUCUUGUGGUCUGUUUCAUUUCGACCGUGUUUUCCAUACCCAGUCCUUUUUUUUAUAAUCGCUCGUUCUUUUGCCAGUCAAGAUGGCAACACUGCUCUUGGAUUUCAAAGUGUUGCGCACCAUACGCUUGCAUAUGGGGAUUAUGUCGAUGAAUCAAUACACACGAUCUUCGUGGGCGAUUUCUGAAGACACAAAAUGUCCACUACGAAGAUGAAACGAGGAUGUUUCUUGAAUUAUAUUAAAAGCAUUUUAUUCAGUAGUCUAUAUUAAUCAUUAAGCUAAUAAUUCCGUGCAUUUAUGAUGAGGCUCUUUUAUUGAAUUAAAGUUUGUAAAUCAUAUUAUUAUAUUAUGUAAGGCUAAGUUGUUAUUUUAAUAUUCUCAUACAAUAAAUAUUCUUCGAAA